CUACGGGUUGCACCAGUCGAGAAUCUUCCGCAAUGGACGAAAGUCUGACGGAGCGACGCCGCGUGCGGGAUGAAGGCCUUCGGGUUGUAAACCGCUGUCAGUGGGGAGGAAAUGCAUCAGGGUUCUCCCUGGUGUUUGACCGAUCCGCAGAGGAAGCGCAGGCGUAAGUUCGUGCCAGCAGCCGCGGUAACACGAACUGCGCGAACGUUAUUCGGAAUCACUGGGCUUAAAGAGUUCGUAGGCGGCCUUUCAAGUCGGGUGUGAAAUCCCUCGGCUCAACCGGGGAAUUGCGCCUGAUACUGUUGGGCUUGAGGGGGAUAGGGGUGAGCGGAACUGAUGGUGGAGCGGUGAAAUGCGUUGAUAUCAUCAGGAACACCGGUGGCGAAGGCGGCUCACUGGAUCUCUUCUGACGCUGAGGAACGAAAGCUAGGGGAGCGAACGGGAUUAGAUACCCCUGUAGUC
rnacentral:rRNA from 1 species